UACAGAGGGGGCAAGCGUUAUUCGGAAUUAUUGGGCGUAAAGGGCGCGUAGGCGGCUUGGUAAGUGGAUGGUGAAAUCCCUCGGCUUAACCGAGGAACGGCCGUCCAAACUGCUUCGCUUGAGACCGGAAGAGGCGAGUGGAAUUCCCGGUGUAGCGGUGAAAUGCGCAGAUAUCAGGAGGAACACCGAUGGCGAAGGCAGGUCUCUGGGCCACUACUGACGCUGAGAAGCGAAAGCAUGGGGAGCGAACAGG
rnacentral:rRNA from 1 species